rnacentral:misc_RNA from 1 species
GAUGAAGAACGCAGCGAAAUGCGAUAAGUAAUGUGAAUUGCAGAAUUCAGUGAAUCAUCGAAUCUUUGAACGCACAUUGCGCCCGCCAGUAUUCUGGCGGUCAUGCCUGUUCGAGCGUCAUUUCAACCCUCAAGACCCCUUCGGGGGACUUGGUGUUGGGGACCGGCACAGGGGCCUGCCUGCUUGUCUUGCAGCGCCCUCGCCGCCCCCGAAAUGAAUUGGCGGCCUCGUCGCGGCCUCCCCUGCGUAGUAGCACAAACCUCGCAACGGGAACGUGACGGCGGCCACUGCCGUAAAACAACCCAAUUUUAUUAGAGUUGACCUCGAAUCAGGUAGGAAUACCCGCUGAACUUAAGCAUAUCAAUAAGCGGAGGA